ACUCCUACGGGAGGCAGCAGUGGGGAAUAUUGCACAAUGGGGGAAACCCUGAUGCAGCCAUGCCGCGUGUGUGAAGAAGGCCUUCGGGUUGUAAAGCACUUUCAGUGAGGAAGAAAGCCUUGGAGGUUAAUACCCUCGAGGGAGGACAUCACUCACAGAAGAAGCACCGGCUAACUCCGUGCCAGCAGCCGCGGUAAUACGGAGGGUGCGAGCGUUAAUCGGAAUUACUGGGCGUAAAGCGCGCAUAGGCGGCUUGAUAAGCCGGUUUGUGAAAGCCCCGGGCUCAACCUGGGAACGGCAUCCGGAACUGUCAGGCUAGAGUGCAGGAGAGGAAGGUAGAAUUCCCGGUGUAGCGGUGAAAUGCGUAGAGAUCGGGAGGAAUACCAGUGGCGAAGGCGGCCCCUGGCUGAUGACUGACGCUCAGAUGCGAAAGCGUGGGGGAGCAAACAGGAUUAGUUACCCUGGUAGGCUCUGC
rnacentral:rRNA from 1 species